GGGGCUUUAGCUCAGCUGGGAGAGCGCAACACUGGCAGUGUUGAGGUCAGGGGUUCGAGCCCCCUCGGCUCCA
rnacentral:tRNA from 1 species